AGAGUUUGAUCCUGGCUCAGGACGAACGCUGGCGGCGUGCUUAACACAUGCAAGUCGAACGGAAAGGCCCUGCUUUUGUGGGGUGCUCGAGUGGCGAACGGGUGAGUAACACGUGAGUAACCUGCCCUUGACUUUGGGAUAACUUCAGGAAACUGGGGCUAAUACCGGAUAGGAGCUCCUGCUGCAUGGUGGGGGUUGGAAAGUUUCGGCGGUUGGGGAUGGACUCGCGGCUUAUCAGCUUGUUGGUGGGGUAGUGGCUUACCAAGGCUUUGACGGGUAGCCGGCCUGAGAGGGUGACCGGCCACAUUGGGACUGAGAUACGGCCUAGACUCCUACGGGAGGCAGCAGUGGGGAAUAUUGCACAAUGGGCGGAAGCCUGAUGCAGCAACGCCGCGUGCGGGAUGACGGCCUUCGGGUUGUAAACCGCUUUCGCCUGUGACGAAGCGUGAGUGACGGUAAUGGGUAAAGAAGCACCGGCUAACUACGUG
rnacentral:rRNA from 1 species